CAGGACUGGGAACUAAAUUGUCAAGUAUGAUGUUGUGGGAAUUACAGAGUUUCCUUCGGAACAGAAUUGCUUCUACCAGAUCCUCUUUCAUUGAAGCCCUUAAAUCUGAUUUAAUUAUUUUCAGUGCGGAGAACAGUCUUUCCAUGCCGACCUGAGUUGGAGGUAUGGCUGUUACUAUCAUAGCUGCAAAUGUUACUAUUUCAGGUUGUAGGGAUGACGGGGAAUUAUA